UCCAGAAUGGGCUCCCGUGGUCUGGAAGGUCUCUUUCCCGCCCCAUCACCCCAGCGCCAAGCCGCUACAGCCCAGAAAGUUCGCCCCCGCACCAGCGCCAACAGCCCACGAGCUCCACCCCAGCACCAAGGCCCCGCCCACCGCUGAGCCCCGUCCCCACUUCUAGCCCAGUGCACAUCUCAACCACCAGAGGGAGCUUGGCACAAAGGAAUCACAGCUCCGAGCUCAACAGGACAAUUGUGGUGGGCCCGGUUGGACAGGGGAUAUGGAAUCCUGGACCCGAUCCAGAGUCUUAAUGAUGCCAUCUGAAUCCCGGACUCCCUGCGCCAAACUACGCCCCAGCCUGCUGAACCUGCAGCAAGUCCUCAAAUAAAGGAUAAGAUAAAGGAACUCUAGC